ACGGGAGCCUGACUGACAAGGGAGAAACUCCUGCAGGGACGAGGCAGCACGUUUAGCCCACAGAGGUGCAGUUCUGUCCCAGGAAACCCGAUGGCAAAAUCCCAUGACUGGAGGCGAGCUGAAGCAGACCCAUAUGAAUGUCCUUCCUUACAAACGCCCAUAAAAACCUUCACUCAGUGCAAUUAGAUUUAGACUAUACAUCAACACAUACAGGUUAGAUCAAUAAAAGUGACAAGCGCGUAUAUAGCUCGAGCCAGACGGGAGAGACGGCAACACCUUUUUAUAUUGUGAUUCAUUAAACCAUUAAUGAGGCAUUUUACAACGCGUCAGCUCGCCGAUGAUGGAAGACGAUUUAUUUAUUCAGACUCUACGAAAUGAUUCCCGAUACCUUGACUGCCGACUGUGAGGCCUUUAUCACAGACGGAGACUCACAGAUCACGCUAAAGCAAUAAACUGCACGGAAGAGGACGUUGAGUCUCGACAAGAGCAAAAGAAGGACGUUCCAUCGGACCCAUUUAUUGUAGUUCAAAUGAACAACUCCAAUCUGUGAAGAAAUGGACACAUUUGUUCAAAAAGGUGCCACGUAUAAAGCUUUCACCCGCAGGUGCUUUUAAAUAAUCCCGAAAAGGGGCCGAGGCCUCCUACAGUACGAGCCUUUCUGCUCAGCUGAUAACGAGUAUGAAAUGGCUCUGAUUUCCAUUAUUUCAGAGCACGGCGUGAAAGGCGAAUGUGAGACAAGCUGAAGGACAAUAAGACGAGAUCCAGGAGGAGAAGUAACCGGCUGGUUAUUCGUCUUCGGGCCCCGAGACAAGCUGCCUGGCGGCGCCGACAUUCGAUCCCCGGCGCGCCUGAUAGGGGCAGCGAGAAUUCUUAACUGCAUUGAUCACAAAAGGCUGUAACGCGACGCGGCUGGAGGAUCCGCAGAGGGCUGACGCGUCCGCGGAGGGUUGGCCCGGCGUUUGAUCUCGACAAGUGCAGAGCCAACAAGCAUUCAUCGUCGACACACCCGCACCGAAGGACUGUCGGCCACUGUGGGCUGAAAACGCA
ensembl:lncRNA